UACGUAGGGGGCGAGCGUUGUCCGGAGUUACUGGGCGUAAAGGGCUCGUAGGCGGCCAACUAAGUCCGACGUGAAAUCCCCAGGCUUAACCUGGGAACUGCGUCGGAUACUGGAUGGCUUGAAUUCGGGAGAGGGAUGCAGAAUUCCAGGUGUAGCGGUGAAAUGCGUAGAUAUCAGGAGGAACACCCAUGGCGAAGGCAGCUCCCUGGCUCGACCCUGACGCUGAGGCGCGAAAGCGUGGGGAGCGAACGGG
rnacentral:rRNA from 1 species